rnacentral:rRNA from 1 species
GAUGAACGCUGGCGGCGUGCCUAAUACAUGCAAGUCGAGCGAACGGACGAUAAGCUUGCUUUUCUGAUGUUAGCGGCGGACGGGUGAGUAACACGUGGAUCACCUACCUAUAUUACUGGGAUAACUUCGGAAAACCGGAGCUAAUACCGGAGAAUAUUUUGAACCGCAUGGUUCAAUAGUGAAAGACGGUCUUGCUGUCACUUAUAGCUGGAUCCGCGCUGCAUUAGCUAGUUGGUAAGGUAACGGCUUACCAAGGCAACGAUGCAUAGCCGACCUGAGAGGGUGAUCGGCCACACUGGAACUGAGACACGGUCCAGACUCCUACGGGAGGCAGCAGUAGGGAAUCUUACGCAAUGGGCGAAAGCCUGACGGAGCAACGCCGCGUGAGUGAUGAAGGUCCUCGGAUCGUAAAACUCUGUUAUUAGGGAAGAACAUAUGUGUAAGUAACUGUGCCCAUCUUGACGGUACCUAAUCAGAAAGCAACGGCUAACUACGUG